UGGGUUGUGGCUCAGCGGUAGAGCACUCACCUAGCAUGUGCGAAGCCCUGGGUUCAAUCCUCGGCACCACAU
rfam:Ictidomys tridecemlineatus contig004376, whole genome shotgun sequence.